UUAAUGAUUAUAAGAUUAAGUUACCUUAGGGAUAACAGCGUAAUUUUUUUAGAGAGUUCUUAUCAAUAAAAAAGUUUGCGACCUCGAUGUUGGAUUAAAAGUAAUUUUGGGUGUAGAAGUUCAAAAUUUUGGUCUGUUCGACCAUUAAAUUUUUACAUGAUCUGAGUUUAGACCGGCGUAAGCCAGGUCGGUUUCUAUCUUUAUUAAUUUAAUAUAUUUUAGUACGAAAGGACCAAAUAUAUAAUAUAUUUAUAUUAAUUUUUUGAAUAUUAUU
rnacentral:rRNA from 1 species